CCAUAAUUCUUUAUUUCUUCUUUUAGGGUCCAUUAGUUGAUGAGACGUUGCCGUUUUGGAGCAUCGUCUCCUUCCAUUCCAAUCCCCUUCUCUGAAAAAAAAAACGGAGCGGAGGACUUGAGGAGUGACGACUGAGGAGUGAGGAGUGGGGACUGAUCUGAGCUUUCGGUAUUGAUAAGAGGUUCCGAGCCCAACACAGCAACACUGCAGUCAAGUAAUGUCCAAGGAGAUGGCCUUGUUAGCCUUCUUCAAUCGGGCUCUUACUUAAGCUCCUCUCUAAACCAGAGGAUAUAAAUGCUCUUUGGCAACUUCUCGUCCAAAGCGUGGGAAUCACAGAUAUGGUGCAAGUGAGGAUGGGAGGACCUUGUUGUUUCCAUGGCGGAAACGAGUGUCACAAUCAUAGCUGUUAGCUAGCUCUACCAAUCCAUGAAUGAGACUAUCAGCAAAGUCCAAGAAGAACCACUCCAGGAUAAAAGAUCCGUGUUAGAACAAGUAGCUACAACACACAAAGCAAGCCUCAGGAAAUAACAAUUUACUCCUACCUACCAAAGCACAGAGGUCAACAACAAG